GACGAACGCUGGCGGCGUGCUUAACACAUGCAAGUCGAACGGAAAGGCCCUGCUUGCAGGGUACUCGAGUGGCGAACGGGUGAGUAACACGUGGGUGAUCUGCCCUGCACUUCGGGUUAAGCCUGGGAAACUGGGUCUAAUACCGGAUAGGAGCCAUUUUUAGUGUGAUGGUUGGAAAGUUUUUUCGGUGUAGGAUGAGCUCGCGGCCUAUCAGCUUGUUGGUGGGGUAAUGGCCUACCAAGGCGGCGACGUGUAGCCGGCCUGAGAGGGUGGACGGCCACACUGGGACUUAGAGGAGGCCCAGACUGCGACGGGAGGCAGCAGGGGGGAAGAUUGCACAAGGGGCGCAAGCCUGAUGCAGCGACGCCGCGUAGGGGAUGACGGCCUUCGGGUUGUAAACUCCUUGCGCUAGGGACGAAGCUUUUUGUGACGGUACCUAGAUAAGAAGCACCGGCUAACUACGUG
rnacentral:rRNA from 1 species